GACGAACGCUGGCGGCGUGCUUAACACAUGCAAGUCGAACGGAAAGGCCCUGCUUUUGUGGGGUGCUCGAGUGGCGAACGGGUGAGUAACACGUGAGUAACCUGCCCUUGACUUUGGGAUAACUUCAGGAAACUGGGGCUAAUACCGGAUAGGAGCUCCUGCUGCAUGGUGGGGGUUGGAAAGUUUCGGCGGUUGGGGAUGGACUCGCGGCUUAUCAGCUUGUUGGUGGGGUAGUGGCUUACCAAGGCUUUGACGGGUAGCCGGCCUGAGAGGGUGACCGGCCACAUGGGGACUGAGAUACGGCCCAGACUCCUGCGGGAGGCAGCAGGGGGGAAUAUUGCACAAUGGGCGGAAGCCUGAUGCAGCAACGCCGCGUGCGGGAUGACGGCCUUCGGGUUGUAAACCGCUUUCGCCUGUGACGAAGCGUGAGUGACGGUAAUGGGUAAAGAAGCACCGGCUAACUACGUG
rnacentral:rRNA from 1 species